UACAUUUCUCCGCUGUAGAUAUAGUCUUUGUACACCUCACCCCCUUCUAUCUCCCCUUCCCCUGCCUUUAUAUACACUGCCCUCUAUACCAAUUUUAUCACUCCUCUACUUUCUCACCACCACCACCGCCGUCUCUCUCUCUCUCUCUCUCUCUCUCUCUCUCUCUCUCUCUCAACAUGACAAAAGACGUGGCGGAGGAGGGGUCUUUCUCGGCCAAGGACUACCACGACCCACCACCGGCGAAGUUCAUAGACCCGAAGGAGCUGACAAGGUGGGCUUUCUACAGAGCUCUGAUAGCGGAGUUCGUUGCCACCCUUCUCUUCCUUUACAUUACUGUCUUGACAGUUAUCGGUUACAAGAGCCAGAUCGACAAGGGCUCCGACGCCUGCGGCGGCGUCGGUAUCUUGGGUAUUGCGUGGGCCUUCGGUGGCAUGAUCUUCGUUCUUGUUUACUGCACCGCCGGUAUCUCCGGUCAGUUUCCACCUCCUCUUUCCUUUUCUUUCAAGUGAUAAACGAUCUCCUUAAGAUACUUAACCAAAUAUAAAAAUAUUAUUAAAGUAUUUUUUUAAAGAAAAGCUUACACAAAAAUACGUAAACCAUAAAUAACCCAGCUAGCCUUGAUUUUUGGAAUUUUAUUUACUUAUUUUUACGUUUAUUUCUAAAAGCGCAGGUUAUAAAAAAAACUCAUUACUUAAUGUUUUUAUAUCUUUUCUAAUAUCAUACCAUAAUUAAACGAUCUAGAGUUGUGUGGUCACAAAACAAUUAUUGCAUAGUGCAUAUAUACUUCUUUUGGUCUAAAUUUCCAGACAAAUUAAAAAGGACAGUAAUAAAUAUUUGUGUGAGUUUAAUGCAGGAGGCCACAUCAACCCAGCCGUGACCUUCGGUCUCUUUCUGGCUCGUAAGGUCUCACUACCUCGAGCCAUCAUGUACAUGGUGGCUCAGUGCUUAGGAGCCAUUUGUGGUGUGGGUUUAGUCAAAGCCUUCCACAAGACUUACUACACUAACUAUGGCGGUGGUGCCAACGAGCUAGCCGAUGGCUACAGCAAAGGCACCGGCUUGGGUGCAGAGAUCAUCGGCACCUUCGUUCUUGUUUACACCGUCUUCUCCGCCACCGAUCCCAAGAGAAGUGCUCGUGACUCCCAUGUUCCUGUAUGCACUCCCUCUUAUUCUUUAGUUAUUAAUAAACUUUAUGAACGUAUGUGUCUAUAUUUCAUCAUGUUUUGUGUGAUCGAUGUGCACAUAUAUAUAGGUGUUAGCAC
rnacentral:lncRNA from 1 species